UACGUAGGGUGCGAGCGUUGUCCGGAAUUAUUGGGCGUAAAGAGCUUGUAGGCGGUCUGUCGCGUCGACCGUGAAAACCCGCGGCUUAACUGCGGGCUUGCGGUUGAUACGGGCGGGCUAGAGUUCGGUAGGGGAGACCGGAAUUCCUGGUGUAGCGGUGAAAUGCGCAGAUAUCAGGAGGAACACCGGUGGCGAAGGCGGGUCUCUGGGCCGAUACUGACGCUGAGGAGCGAAAGCGUGGGGAGCGAACAGG
rnacentral:rRNA from 1 species